rnacentral:rRNA from 1 species
GACGAACGCUGGCGGCGUGCUUAACACAUGCAAGUCGAACGGAAAGGCCCUGCUUGCAGGGUACUCGAGUGGCGAACGGGUGAGUAACACGUGGGUGAUCUGCCCUGCACUUCGGGAUAAGCUUGGGAAACUGGGGCUAAUACCGGAUAGGAGCCAUCCUUAGUGUGGUGGUUGGAAAGUUUUUUCGGUGUAGGAUGAGCUCGCGGCCUAUCAGCUUGUUGGUGGGGUAAUGGCCUACCAAGGCGGCGACGGGUAGCCGGCCUGAGAGGGUGUACGGCCACAUUGGGACUGAGAUACGGCCCAGACUCCUACGGGAGGCAGCAGUGGGGAAUAUUGCACAAUGGGUGCAAGCCUGAUGCAGCGACGCCGCGUGGGGGAUGAAGGCCUUCGGGUUGUAAACUCCUUUCGCUAGGGACGAAGCUUUUUGUGACGGUACCUAGAUAAGAAGCACCGGCUAACUACGUG